CCUACGGGAGGCUGCAGUGGGGAAUAUUGGACAAUGGGCGAAAGCCUGAUCCAGCCAUGCCGCGUGUGUGAAGAAGGCCUUCGGGUUGUAAAGCACUUUCAGUGGGGAAGAAAGCCUUGGGGCUAAUACCCUCGAGGAAGGACAUCACCCACAGAAGAAGCACCGGCUAACUCCGUGCCAGCAGCCGCGGUAAUACGGAGGGUGCGAGCGUUAAUCGGAAUUACUGGGCGUAAAGCGCGCGUAGGCGGUCUGAUAAGCCGGUUGUGAAAGCCCCGGGCUCAACCUGGGAACGGCAUCCGGAACUGUCAGGCUAGAGUGCAGGAGAGGAAGGUAGAAUUCCCGGUGUAGCGGUGAAAUGCGUAGAGAUCGGGAGGAAUACCAGUGGCGAAGGCGGCCUUCUGGACUGACACUGACGCUGAGGUGCGAAAGCGUGGUUAGCAAACAGGAUUAGAUACCCCAGUAGUC
rnacentral:rRNA from 1 species